rnacentral:rRNA from 1 species
CCUACGGGUGGCAGCAGUAGGGAAUUUUUCACAAUGGGCGAAAGCCUGAUGGAGCAACGCCGCGUGCAGGAUGAAGGCCAUCGGGUUGUAAACUGCUUUUAUAAGCGAGAAAUAUGAUGGUAACUUAUGAAUAAGGAUCGGCUAACUACGUGCCAGCAGCCGCGGUCAUACGUAGGAUCCGAGCAUUAUCCGGAGUGACUGGGUGUAAAGAGUUGCGUAGGUGGCAUAAUAAGUAGCUAGUGAAAUCUGGUGGCUCAACCAUUCAGACUAUUAGCUAAACUGUUAAGCUCGAGACCGUUAGGGGUAACUGGAAUUUCUAGUGUAGGAGUGAAAUCCGUAGAUAUUAGAAGGAACACCAAUAGCGUAGGCAGGUUGCUGGGACGGUUCUGACACUAAGGCACGAAAGCGUAGGGAGCAAACGGGAUUAGAUACCCCUGUAGUC